rnacentral:rRNA from 1 species
GAUGAACGCUGGCGGCGUGCCUAACACAUGCAAGUCGAGCGGGAUUCAUGAGGACGAAACUUCGGUCUAGAAAUCAUGAUGAGAGCGGCGGACGGGUGAGUAACGCGUAGGCAACCUGCCCUUAGCACAGGGAUAGCCUCGGGAAACCGGGAUUAAAACCUGAUAAUGCCAAACAGUCACAUGGCUGUUUGGCCAAAGAUUUAUCGGCUAAGGAUGGGCCUGCGUCUGAUUAGUUAGUUGGUGGGCUAACGGCCUAUCAAGACGACGAUCAGUAGCCGACCUGUGAGGGUGAGCGGCCACAUUGGAAAUGAGACACGGUCCAAACUCCUACGGGAGGCAGCAGUGGGGAAUAUUGCACAAUGGGAGAAAGCCUGAUGCAGCAACGCCGCGUGAGCGAUGAAGGCCUUUGGGUCGUAAAGCUCUGUCCUAGGGGACGAACACAAUGACGGUACCCUUGGAGGAAGCCCCGGCUAACUACGUGCCAGCCGCCGCCGUAACAC